rnacentral:tRNA from 1 species
GCCAGCCUAGUUAGUAGUGCGUCUGCCUUGUAAGCACUAGACCGCGGGUUCGAUUCCCGCCCGGGGCG